rnacentral:miRNA from 1 species
CAGUGCCGUCUCUUCCUCAAGUUC